GACGAGCCUCACAAACGUUAUUCGGAAUUACUGGGCUUAAAGGGUGCGUAGGCGGCGCGGCAAGUUGGGUGUGAAAUCCCUCGGCUCAACCGAGGAAUUGCGCUCAAAACUACCGUGCUCGAGGGAGAUAGAGGAGCGCGGAACUUAGGGUGGAGCGGUGAAAUGCGUUGAUAUCCUAGGGAACACCGGUGGCGAAAGCGGCGCUCUGGAUCUCAUCUGACGCUGAUGCACGAAAGCUAGGGUAGCGAACGGG
rnacentral:rRNA from 1 species